AUGCAUCCCUGUCUCUCUGUGUCCCUGUCUCUCUGUGUCCCUGGCUCUCUGUGUCCCUGGCUCUCUGUGUCCCUGGCUCUCUGUGUCCCUGGCUCUCUGUGUCCCUGGCUCUCUGUGUCCCUGGCUCUUUGUGUCCCUGGCUCUCUGUGUCUCUGGCUCUCUGUGUCUCUGGCUCUCUGUGUCUCUGGCUCUCUGUGUCCCUGGCUCUGUCCCUCUGGAUGCAUUCCAAAUUGCACCCUUUUCCCUAUAGGGCUCCGGUCAAAAGUAGUGCACUAUAUAGGGAAUACGGUGCUAUUUGGAACACACAACCUCUGUGUCCCUGCUGGCUUUCUGGGAGAGGGGAGGCCCUCAGUGAGUGUGGCUCACCCAGGCGGAGACAGGCUUCCUGCACAUCCUUUGUCACACCAUUUGGGGCCUUGUGUCUGUGGCUCCCCUGCUUCAGACCUACUUGGCAGCUCACAGGGCAGACAGACAUCUGCUCCUCCUAACCUCCUGCAUGGUGAACAGAGAGAGGAGAGGAGAGGAGAGGAGAGGAGAGGAGAGGAGAGGAGAGGAGAGGAGAGGAGAGGAGAGGAGAGGAGAGGAGAGGAGAGGAGAGGAGAGGAGAGGAGAGAACCACCACUAGCCCACACCAGCAGUCAUCAGAAGUGGAAUGAGGUGAAACCUUUCCAGUACUCCUCACCCCGCCCCAAACUCCACCCUUAACACAGUUACCAUUCAAAAACGAGCUGUUUAUCUAAAAAAAUGGCAUUGCGACCAAAGAGAAAAGACGAAAUGGACAUCGUUUUCAUCAAGCCAGCUUCUUUCUAUGGCGUUCCAGAGGACUUCAAAAUGAGCCGGAGCAUAGAGGAUCACCAAAACUAAAGGUAUUUUGGUUUCAGUGCAUUUUCUUUAAAAAAUGCACUGAAAUUUAUAUAGCCUAUUAAUGUGUAGGCAUACUGUGUAAUAUAUUCGAUAAUUAAAUAAAGGUCAAAUAAAAAAUUAUAAUAAUAAUUGUGUACUAAAAACGUGAAUGUGUUUUUGUAGAGCAUACAACCAUGUCGACAACCAUCCGUAGAGAUCAGUGGACAAAAGGCUGGACAACAGGCCACACCGAAAAAACGAAUGGUUGCCAAGAAAGUGGUUAGUUUUGCUAGAUUCUUAGAAUGUGUACGCAGCAUUUAUGUUUUGGAGUCACUUUCCAUUCUUAAUUGAUCUACCAUUUCUAUCAUAGGCAGUGGAGGUUCUAGCUUGUAUGGCUCCCUGGGCGAACCCCCCCCCCNNNNNNNNNNNNNNNNNNNNGCCUCUGGGGACAUGUGUUGUUUAGCGUACAAUUAGCUUGAUAUUAUACAUAGGACCAAUUAUGUCCAUGUAAAUUACCAUAGUAGCUCUCUUGGUGUUGAAUCUUUUCCCUGUAAACUUAGAAACGUACUGCGUUGCGUCAGCAACACCUGUGCAGGAAACAGAGAAUACGGUUCUGUUGUGGGUUGUUAAAACUCUAAAAUAGAACAGUGGAGCUAACUAGGACAUGGUCCGCAAGGAAGUAAAGCAUUUAUUAACUAUCAACUAUAUUCCAUUACCCAGCUAUUACAUUGCCAUAGAAAAGCUUUUUUUUAAAAAUUAAACCUAAAACAUUUUAUUACACUAUUCCCCCCCCCCCCCCCCCUCCUUCAGCCCCACCCACCCAUCACCGUUCUGCACUAACUGUCAUUUUUAUUCAGACAUUUGGAACACAAAUAAAUAAUCAUAACAUUUAAAACUAUAUAAAUACAAAAAUAUAUACAAAAAUAAGACUCUUAAAUAUCAAAAAGAAGUAACAAAGACAAAUAGAAACAAAUGUGUUGAUUUGGCACUCGAGCAUCAAUAUAUUACCCAUCCCCCAACACUGUCAACCAAGAGUCAAGACUAAACCAGUUCACCUUGGUGUGCAGACUGGUUUUAUAUUAUUCUUAACGAUUUUACAUAAACCAGAAAAAAUGCAACAAUAUGUCUGUGAAACUAUAUAUUUACAGUAUUAUGAAUGAAUUGUGGUUUAUUUGGUAGCAUUUCGUAGUGUCACUGAUUUUACAAAUUACAUUAGUACUGUACAAAGUUAAAGGUGUGCUAUUUCAUAGAUUCCCCUGCUCCCCCUACCUCGGGCUUCCAGUGGGGAGACCUGAGGUCAACCUACCCCCGUCCCCCUCCCUGUCUCGUACUUCUGAGUGGGAGACCUUCCCAGGCAGUAGCCUGCCUAGCUCACAAACUAGAAUCAGGGCGCCCAUUCCGACAAGGUUAAUUGACCCACAGUCCCACACGGUGACAUGAUAUCAUUGACGUGAUGUGCAAAUGAGCGAUAGAAAACCGAUCGCGCAAAUGUCACCAUUCCAAAUUAUUUUGUGCGGGAGCCCCGUGCCACCCCCGGCAAGAUGCCACCCUGGGCGGCUGCCCAUGUCGCCUAUACUAAAAUCCGCCACUGAUCAUAGGCCACUGUAAUCGAUGGGGGCUCAGGGCGUUACCAUUCUGCUCAUCUGAUGAAGGUGCACAUGGAUCAGAUUCAAACUUUGAAGACCGAGAUCGAGUCAUUGAAGGCAGACCAGCAGAAAGAGAAACAUUAUCUGAGGGCAGAGAUACGGGCGACAGCUGAUGCAUUGGUCCAGAGUCACUCGUCAUUGGCAGAGAGUCACUCGUCAUUGGCAGAGAGUCAGGCGGCAUUGGCAGAGAGUCAGGCGGCAUUGGCAGAGAGUCAGGCGGUGAAUGACGCGUUGACGAGGGCGAGGAACAGGAUGGAGUCACAACCCAUCACAGGCACACCGGUGAGCUCUGGAACUCCACCUCCGACAGGCAGAGUCAACCUACAUUUCCAUUCCUCUUCUGACAACAUAACUUGACCAACUGCUCACAAGGCACAGCAAAGGCCGUCCAGACCGUUAUGCUGUUCUGCUAUUCCAAGGAUGUGUAACCGAAGAGAGAUACCACGAGUGGACACAGAAUACCAACUGGGAUGGAUCCUGGGGCAAAUGUGGCUUACCAGUGAACCUCCGGGUGUUCAUCAUUAAAACUGUCUCAGAAGUUUCUGUCAAUGACUGAUGCAACCCGAAAAAGCAUUAAAGACAGAGUUAAGGAAUACUUGAGGUCACAGAAAAAGUCUGGACAUGGCCUGCUCUCCCUUCUGUAAGGAAUUAGGCACUUUACCAUGUUUACUACAGUAUGUACUGUAGGCUAUGUUUACUUGUCAGACUGCACAGUAGCCUAAUAAACAAAUGCAGACGGCUUCUAUCUUCAAAAUUCUUUAAAUGCUUUAUUAUCCAAAUGUUUAAAGUGUGCGUGUGCGACCUCAUGCAACCACCAAAUGGAGGAUAAAGCAUAUACUGUACAGUACUGUAUUUCUUAAUCAGCAUCUUUAUGCUUUCAUUAAUAAAAGAAUGAAAAAAAUACUCUUUCAAAAUGCGGA
rnacentral:lncRNA from 8 species